AUGAAUUUGUCAGACUGUUUUAGACUCUCACUUCAGUGGUGCAGUUUAGUCAGGGGUUUGUGCAUCUGUGUGUGUGCAUUUUGAUUUUUAGCAAUUAUGACAUUAUGAGGUGAUGUGUACCUCGUGCACACACUGCCAUUCCAGGUUGGUGUUCAAACCAAGAAGGAAAAAAACCCAACAAAACUCCAAUUUUUUACUCAUCUGUGAGUCUUUCAUACAGACAUGCGGUCACAAGGAGGAGGCAGCUUGUUGUGUUAAUUAGAUCAGAAGCCUGUGAUUGUUUCUAGCUGCACUACCCCAUCUCAUCCAGGUGUCUGCAGCAGCAGUGGAUGAUCAUGUGUGUGCUUAUUGAAGAAUCAAAUAAUUCAGCUACCACACUUGACCUGUUUACUGUGCUGGUGCUGUGGGGGUUUUAUGCUCUGUGAUGUAACUCACUUUUUUGAACAGAUGACUUUUGAUACUCACUGUGAGGUUCUAUGUGUCAUAUUGAGGACAAAAACUCCUUUAAUGAUUUGAUUUCCUUUCUGUGCCUGGGAGGUUGCUGAACCUUGGUGGUGACAUUCCUUGUGGCUGGCACAAGCUGAACUUGAAUAAACCCACUCCAGUCAUGCUAAGGUGCUUCAGAUAUAGAAUAUGGAAAACCUCUGAGGCAGCCUAAGCAAAUGGCCCAGCUGGAGUUGCUGACUGUGGCUCCCAGAAGCUCCCAUAUUUGUUGGGAUCCAGCUCCUGCUGCUUGCCUCGCAUUGCUCAGUUGGAGCAGCGCCUCCCCCACGCUGAGUCCUUCCCGACAUUCCAGCAGCCACCUCCAGCAGCGCUCCCGGGGGCAGGAAUCCCGGGCCAGCUGACACUCUCCCUCACAGGAGGAAUCCUGGACAAGCUGACACUCUCCCUCACAGGAGGAAUCCUGGACAAGCUGACACUCUCCCUCACAGGAGGAAUCCUGGACGAGCUGACACUCUCCCUGCACAGGAGGAAUCCUGGACAAGCUGACACUCUCCCUCACAGGAGGAAUCCUGGACAAGCUGACACUCUCCCUCCACAGGAGGAAUCCUGGAUGAGCUGACACUCUCCCUCACAGGAGGAAUCCUGGACAAGCUGACACUCUCCCUCCACAGGAGGAAGCCCCAGAACGUGGUCUGUGAUGGGAUUCUCUGUGACACAGCUGAAGGGGCAGCCUCUGACACUUUGAAGAAUGGAGCUCAUUUGGUACUGUACAACAGGGUACACUUCUGCAAAUACUUCAGGGUAGAUGAAUUUCUUCCAGAGUGAGGAAAAUGCUACAUGGUUUGCUGAGGCUCAGAAGCCUUGGCUUGCUUGGAUACACGGAGCUCUGUGCCAGGAUUCUGUGUGCCAGGCCCAUCUGGCUCACCUCCAGCCCUCUUACAACACAUCCUCAACACCCAAAUUAUUGCAAUUUCUCAUUUGCAUGAGGUGCACACGUUUGUGCUUUGUUUUCCUCUGGGCUUUUCCCAUAUCCUGAGCCAAAAGCAGAUCUUUGUGCUGGCUAAGUUUCCAAGUGCUCCAGUGUAGCAGUAGGCCAUGUUCUUUGUGUCUCUUUUUACAGAGGUCCAGUUCCCAGCUCUGCUUGCCCACACAUGCUGGCAGCACAACUGAAGCUUUCUUGUGUCUGUUCUACAGAUAAUCUGGUUAUGAGUGUUUGCAAGCCUUUUGCUUUUGGAAGCCUUCUCUUCAAGAAGACAAGGCUUCAAGUCUGCUGCUGCUUCAUCCCAGCAGCAGCAGACCACAGAGUUUUCACCUGGCUUUUGCUAAAAGUGAGAUUUGUCUCUCUUUCAGACAGUAGCUUAUCAAACCCUGAAGAAAAUUACCUGGUGUGCAGGGCAGGACAGAGCAGACUUGUGCAGGAGGGUGUGCAGUGGUGCCUUAGAGGCUGUUCCUGCCAGAGAAGUAGAGAAGGACAUCAGAAGUGACUGGAGAACAAAACCACACUAAGAUCAGUCAUCUGGAGAUGGAUUAAGACCUGUUUGAAGCUCAGCUGCACACACUAGGGACAGGAGCUGAGUUGCUCUUUCUCUACUUUGUCAACAAAUUGCAGAAUAUCUUUAGCAAGAAGUUCAGGUUCCUCGAAAGCUGCAAAGUGGCCACCUCGAGGCAUGAAGUGGAAGGAGACAAUGUUGGUGUAUUUCUUCUUGGCCCAAGCCUGGGUAUCUGGUUUUGUAGUCUGUAUGUGAGCAUAGCCAAACUCAGAGAAGAUCUUGUAGAGGCAUUUCUUCAAGAAGGGGAACAUCCUCCUGACAUCUUCAUCCUGGAAUCCAAAGAGCCCUGGGAAGUACCGGCCCAGCAGGACGGAGAGCAGGAAACAGGAAUUUGUUCCCAGCAGAGCCUGACUGCCUCAUUUCUUGAUGAAUUUAAGCAUGUUUUACUCACAUCAACUCCAGUUCACCAGCAAUCCCACCGUCUUUCACUGACUUGAGCUUUCCCCACCCUUGACACUCCUGUGAAUCUCUGCACUCUCUGAAAAGCUUUCAAGUGAUGACAGAAGGUAGGAAUCUGAUACACAGCAUGUUUGACCUUGUCUUUUCAUAUCUCCUCUCUGUAAUCUUUCCCAACACUGAAAUUUCCCUUCCCAUUGCUAUACAUAGUGCAUUGUCCUUAGCUGCUUCUCCCUUUCUUGUCUCAGACGGUGCUUUUUUUCUUCUUUUUCAAGGGAAGACUUUCUGGUUUUAUCUUUUUCAGCACUAACCAUCAUUUAAAUAAGUGCUUUAAGCUCUAACCACUAUGUAGCACCAUUUAUUGUCCCAAAUCCAUUUAAAAUACCAUGUCAAACAGCACCUUUGAAGAACACAGUUAUGGGUGCAAGUGAAAACAGAACAAAAUACCCUAUUAAGGCUAAAUUUUGCCAUCAUGGGUGACAAUUGCCUGCUGUGCUCUAGACCUACAAGAGGACCUAAGCACCACCUAAAUCAGGCAUUUUAAAAAGCCCAGUCUGGCCAAGCUCCAGCACCAGCAGACCUUGGCUGAAUGAACUCCUUGGAAAGAAUGAAUGAAGAGGAACCAUUCCCUCACACCGGCAGCACACCAGCCCCAGGGGAGAGGCACUGGGAAUGCUGAAGAGGUGCAGCAGAGCACAUCUGCCCUGCCAGGCUGAUGGCUGCACUGUGACAGCAGCAGCUGGGCAGCCCCAUGGAGCACCAGGAGACAUCUGUGGCAAUUUUUGCAUGACUGCAUGCAAGGCAGGCAACAUGUGUACGUCUUAAGAUCCACUUCUGCUCCCAAACACUCGUGCUUGGCUCCUGCUAACACCAGCUGACAGCCUGCUCAUGCACAGGGAAUUCCAUUUGUCAUUCCUUGUCCUGAAGGCUUCAGUUACAAGCAAGGAGUUCCCUGCUCCUUCAGCAGUGCUGCCAAUGAUCCAGACUGUGGCAGCCAGGGAGGGAAAGCCCUGUGACACAAGCAGAGCCUUCUUCCCACCAAGCUCCCUUGCAGACAAAUUUAUCUAUUGCUGGUUAUGUUUUAAGGGGAAAAGCAACACACCUUGAAUCUUUGUUUUGAAUUGUGGAUACUUGUUGAGGACUUCAACUUGUUUCUUCCAAUUGAACUGGUUUUUCCAGUAGGACACAACCUUCCUGAGAUGCACCGAGUUAGUUCCAUAAUGGAAGCAGCUGUUCUCCAGUGGCUCAGUGAAUCGAGCCUGGUCCAGUCUCCUAAAUAAAUCCUACAGGGAAAGAGAGAGAAGAGACAUUAGAAGCA